rnacentral:lncRNA from 1 species
CUGAACAAGGUCCUACCAGCAGCAGUGCAAACACACCAUCCGGAGAGAGACAGAUAGAGAACAAUGUGAGGAGGAUAAGUAAGGAUGGUCAACCCAUUCCCACAUCUUCACAGUGUGUGUACGUACGUGCACAUGCGUGCCUGCAUUCACAUGUGUAUGUGUCCAUAAUGUGCGUGUGUGUGUUUAACCUCAUAUGAAGUGGGUGGAAAACACGUCCCUCUUCCUGGCUGGUAUCAGUCCUCUGGCUCCAUGUCUCAGUCUGUAGAUAUUCUGUAUGGAGUCACAGCCCUAGUCAUUCAGGUCAAGUACAGGCUACGUAGUCUAGUGGGAUACCAGACCCUCCUUCCUGCUAUUAAGCCAAUACAGGGCCAGGCUCUCUCUCGCUCUAAACAUCAUUUGGCUCACUGAAAGCUUGAAACGCUAUACAUUUUCAUUUGAAGUUCCAGAUAGCUGUAUGAUGUUGUUGGGGCUCUGAGAGGAGAGAGGAAACUCUGGGCUGCCCAGGGCCUGAGAGGUGAACCAGAGAGGAACCCCGCUGCCCAGGGCCUGAGAGGUGAACCAGAGAAGAACCCCACUGCCCAGGACCUGAGAGGUGAACCAGAGAAGAACCCCAGUGCCCAGGGCCUGAGAGGUGAACCAGAGAAGAACCCCACUGCCCAGGACCUGAGAGGUGAACCAGAGAAGAACCCCUCUGCCCAGGGCUUGAGAGGUGAACCAGAGAAGAACCCCGCUGCCCAGGACCUGAGAGGUGAACCAGAGAAGAACCCCAGUGCCCAGGGCCUGAGAGGUGAACCAGAGAAGAACCCCACUGCCCAGGACCUGAGAGGUGAACCAGAGAAGAACCCCACUGCCCAGGGCCUGAGAGGUGAACCAGAGAAGAACCCCACUGCCCAGGGCCUGAGAGGUGAAACAGAGAAGAACCCCACUGCCCAGGACCUGAGAGGUGAACCAGAGAAGAACCCCACUGCCCAGGACCUGAGAGGUGAACCAGAGAAGAACCCUGCUGCCCAGGACCUGAGAGGUGAACCAGAGAAAUAGAAUGACUAAAACUGACAUUCAAAUGAACACUCUGUUAAUUCUAUUUCAAUGAUGUCAAAAACAGUGUCUACUCUGGCAGUAGAGAACAAAACUCAACCCUUCCCUUGAACCCUGGAAAGACUGACCAGCGCAGACCCUUUGGCUGGGCCUGCCAAUUAAUUAUAUAGUGACUUUAAAGCUUCCUGUUUUUCUCUCUUCAAUUAAGCCAAUCUGCCACAAUGCUGGAAACAGAGGAAAUACUCUUAAAAUAGUCUCUAAUUUCAGCACGUUCAAUUAUUUUGUACCACCCGGUCCGAAUCAGAUAGCAUCAGGUUGUGUUAAUGUAAAGAUCAACAAAGUUUGAUCACAGGGAAAAUAUUUCUGUCAUUUCUUCCUGUUUCUAGCCUGCGUAGUGUGGGAAUUUGUGAGAAGUCUGGUGCAGCUCGUCUGAGAUGGCCACUGCCCACAGCCCUAUGCCAGGGUUAGCUGGUACAUGCCUUAGCCAGGCCCAUCAUCCACCAUCAAUCUCUGACUGUUUAUUAUUACAUGUUUAGCAAAAAAGCUCGUGAUUUAUUCCCUCCUCUGUUACACUUUUCCUGUCUUCUUUUAUGAAAACAAAAUUCCAGUGAAUUCUUCCAUUAUUACCAUUAGGCAGCCAUGAUGGCUGGCACCCUCUCACUCACUGCAAACACAGUGCAGCGCCACAACAUGACUUCAGCUAAUGCUCACGGAUAUGCUGCCUGGUAUUCACAACACAUUCUGCUAUACUGUAGCUUUGUUGCCAAGUGAGUUGCUGCACAAAGCACUGACUCUCUCCCCCAUGCAGCCAGCACCUGACAAAUCGACCUUGACAGCAGACACACACUUUGUCUUCCUCUCCCCUUUCUGCUGCAACAGUUCUAAUUACAGUAAAUCUACAGGGUAGCGUUCAAGAGCAACAAGUCAACUCCAAUGUUAUCGUAAAUGCUCUGUAGCCUACUUUCCUGCUGAAUACCUGCCAGUGUUUUCCAACAUUACCCUUUUCAACUCUGAACUGAAACUCACCUCCCGGCUGCCUCACCCUCUGUUUUUCACAGGGAAACCGGAAAGGAGGAGAAAGUGAAGACUUAAAGUGUGCCAACCAGGGCAGGGCCAGUUAAAACUGACUUUAAUGGAGGAUUUAAGCUUCAGAAAGUCUGUAUUUUGACCUAAUUCACAUGUUAGUUCUGCAGUAGGGGCUGAGACAUUCUUUCAGGCUCUAUCAGAUAAAUGAUGUCUAUUGUUUUGGCCUAAUGAUAUCUAUGCUGCAGAUCUGACAGAUUGUGUGGUAAAAGUAAAUGAAAGUCAGAAGUAAAUAGUGCGAUGUGUUCAGCCACUUUACAAGUGAUGGUAGAGAUAGACAGAUAAGACAUGUACAGAUUUAGAACAGCUUCCCUUGCUCCCUCCUACUGUGUAGCACAAAAAAAAUUAAUAAUAAUUGGAAAAUAGUCCUACUUGAACGGCAAUUUCUUCCCGCAUAACUUGACAUUUUUAGUGGUUUUCAUUUUCUCUUUGAAAGCCGAAUGGGGAUAAAUAACAGGUCAUAACAGAUAGAAAUGAGAGUGUCGACAAAUGGUGAGAUGAGGUCAUAUGACUAGAUAUGUCAUAGAGACUGAUGGUAUUGGAGUGAUUAUGAGGAGGAAGGGGGUUUAGUGGGGGUGAAGAGGGAGGAAACCCCGGCAGCCCUUGUAUCAGUGGCCCGCUGGCUGGAGGCCCCUCGAUAAACAGGCCGGUUAUCACAUCACUAACAUUUAUCUAACCCUUCUCUCCAGCACACAGAGAGAACACAGAGAAAGCGGGAGGUUGGUUCCUCAAUCUCUCUGCCACAACCACAACAUUUUCUGAGGCUACUACAACUUAAAAACACACACAUAAAGAUGAGUACAAAAACAAAGCUAACUUUCUCAACGGACACUCCCUACACAUAUCUACACACCCACAAACACCCAAUCAAUUCCUGUAACAACAUCACUGUCAUCCACAGAACUCCCCCUGUCCAUUGCUGUCUCCUCUCGCUGUCCUCCUCUGUUUGGCUGUGUACUGAGGACAUUACUUUACUACUGUAGGGGAGUCGGGGGAUCCUUAGAGGCACUUGUCUAUCCCUCCACCCUUCCCUUCCUUCCUUCCAUCCUUUCUCCUCUCUUCUCCUCCUCCAUCCAUCCACGCCAUCUGCGUUUUCCUUCUCCUCUCCUCCUCAAUCCAUCCCCCCCUUGGGGUGUUUCCCUUCCCCUCUCCUCCUCCAUCCAUUCACCCCUUCAGCUUUGGGACUGAACACACAUCUCUCUCCCACACAUCCCAUGCCAGGCAUUCAGGCGGCCAGGCCUCAUGUUUUUCAAAUUCAUUAUUCAGAUGAAAGAAAGGCAGUGCAGCGCAUUCCAAAAUAAAUACACGAGGCUUGGUGGAUGAAGCUGUGUUUUAGAGUUAGUGCGAUAGCUAGAAUCGCUAGAACGCAAUGUUGUUGUUUUAACUGGAAGAGGAUGGAACUCUAUCUGUCUCUGGAGUGUGUCUGUCACUUUGUCACUCAGCCCAUCUGUGGAAUUACCCUCCAAUACACCACUUACAAAUGGGACCUUACCCAAGCAGCAACUGUUGUUGACAUUACAGUACAUUACAGUAUUGGAUGUCAUAAUGCUGAAAAUGUUAUAUUGACAUUCAGAUGAUGACACAAAUGUGAGAAUUGUGUCAGUAGCUUAUCCUAGGGAUUCCACUGAGAGAGAACAGUAGUGGCUGCAGCCAACAUAUGAAAUUGCUGUUCUUUGGCCACAAAAGCUGUCAGAGAGAUGUAUAACACUGUCCCUAAAGAAGCAGUGGUACAUAUCCUCCUGGUAAAAUAAGGUUAGGGACUUCUCCCUGAACUUACAAUGGGGAGCUCAAAGGCCAGGGGUCGGCAACAAGGUUUUUAGUUAAAAAAAAAGUUGUAUUGGGUCAAAACAGAUUGUAAUAUCACCAGGAAUUCAGCUAGAAAUGAGUUUAAUUUAGGAAAUCCGUUCCCAAGUAAUCCAACAAAUAAAAAAAUAGACAUACGUGAUCGUGUCUCAAUGUAAUCAAGGUAUGAAAUUAUUGUUAUUUUCAAAUACAAUCUCUUUUUGGCCUUAGUUGUGGUCAAUUUGUAGUGCAUGUAACCCUCUCACCAGGCUCGAAUUUGACUCUCACGAUAUUACCUUACUUAGAAUAUCUGAACAGCAUGGGAUAUUAGGUCAGAAGGACAUCUCCAAUAAGAAUCCCUGUUGUAAACUAUCUAGGGUGAUGACAACUAGGGUAUUCACUUCAGAAAGAAGGAUUAGAGAUUUGUGUAUAUGCUUUCCCAUGCAUUUAAAUGAAACUGAAACAGUAAAUGACUCCACCAAUGCAACAGACAUAAGGUUUAAGAUGUAUGUGUCACAUUUUCAAUGUACCACAUCAAAAUAAAUAAAAAUAAUGAACCCCAAUGAUUUUUUUCACAACCCAUGUCCAAAUUACUGGCAAGCUUACUUAAACCCGUUGGCA